ensembl:lncRNA
UUCGGAAGCACAAUUCAGAAUUGUGCUUCUGAAACGGAAGGCUACAUCCUAAAAUUCAAAUGAUCAGUAGGCUACCGACUCAUUUUCUUUCUGUUUAUUACCGUGAAUUUAAAUGUGUGCAGCCUUUGUCGGAUGUAGCCUUCCGUUUGAGAGACUCCCAUACAUAAGCUUUGUUGAACUGAAAAAGACUCCAAAUGAGGAGUCGAUUCCCCUUGAUGGAAUUGAUGCCAACCUUUGGAAUCGACUCUCGAUUCCCAACGCAUCAAGGAAUCGAUUCCAAAAAGAGCCCUACUGUCUCACACUUGUCUUGCACAUAAACAUCAAAUAGAUUUCUUGUUAUCUCUAAGCUCAUCGAAAACUCAAGCAUACUUAAGCAAACUGAAGCACUCAGAGACAGUCUAAAGAACACUCUUUAAAUAUAAAUUUACAUACGUAAGAAGUGCAGUGCGCUUCUCGCUUCUGAAUGGUUUUAAUAUUUGAGUGAGAGAUCACCGUAGCCACCAGAUCCAGUCUGUAUCCAAGUCAGAGGGUCACUGCAGUCACCCGGAUCCAGUACGUAUCCAGACCAGAUGGUGGAUCAGCACCUAGAAAGGACCACUUCAGCCCUGAAAGACAGCGGAGACCAGGACUAGAGCCCCAGAUACAGAUCCCCUGUAAAGACCUUGUCUCAGAGGACCACCGGGACAAGACCACAGACACAGAUGAUUCUUCUGCACAAUCUGACUUUGCUGCAGCCUGGAAUUGAACUGCCGGUUUCGUCUGGUCAGAGGAGAACUGGCCCCCCGACUGAGCCUGGUUUCUCCCAAUGUUUUUUUCUCCAUUCUGUCACUGAUGGAGUUUUGGUUCCUUGCCGCUGUCGUCUCUGGCUUGCUUAGUUGGGGACACUUCAUUUACAGCGAUAUCGUUGACUUGAUUGCAAAUUAUUGCACAGAUACCAUUUAAACUGAACUGAGCUGCAUGAUGACAUCACUGAAUUCAAUGAUGAACUGUCUUUAACUGUCAUUUUGCAUUAUUGACACACUGUUUUCCUAAUUAAUGUUGUUUAGUUGCUUUGACGCAAUCUUUUUUUGUUUAAAGCACUAUAUAAAUAAAGGUGACUUGACUUGACUUGACGAGUAGGGCAGGGCCGAGAGCCCUGGGAGCAGAGUGAGGCCGGUGGAGUAAAUGAUAAUGAGCGACACCUGUACCACUCACCGAUCUCGAGUCCCACGAGGAGCUCCGGAAGGAUAAAAGGAGAAGUGACGACAGUGAAGGACGAGAGAGGACCAGGCCUGGAUUUUAUGUUGUUGUUUUAUGUGGCAGUCGUGCUUUUACUGCUGUUGGGCUGCUGCUUUUACUUUCAUUUUGUGUUUGUUUAUUUGUUUAUUAAAG